rnacentral:rRNA from 1 species
GAUGAACGCUGGCGGCGUGCCUAAUACAUGCAAGUCGAGCGAACGGACGAGAAGCUUGCUUCUCUGAUGUUAGCGGCGGACGGGUGAGUAACACGUGGAUAACCUACCUAUAAGACUGGGAUAACUUCGGGAAACCGGAGCUACUACCGGAUAAUAUUUUGAACCGCAUGGUUCAAAAGUUAAAGACGGUCUUGCUGUCACUUAUAGAUGGAUCCGCGCUGCAUUAGCUAGUUGGUAAGGUAACGGCUUACCAAGGCAACGAUGCAUAGCCGACCUGAGAGGGUGAUCGGCCACACUGGAACUGAGACACGGUCCAGACUCCUACGGGAGGCAGCAGUAGGGAAUAUUCCGCAAUGGGCGAAAGCCUGACGGAGCAACGCCGCGUGAGUGAUGAAGGUCUUCGGAUCGUAAAACUCUGUUAUUAGGGAAGAACAUAUGCGUAAGUAACUGUGCACAUCUUGACGGUACCUAAUCAGAAAGCCACGGCUAACUACGUG